GCCAGCACUCCCAUCCCGCGACGCUCUCGCCCGUCCCCGGCCCGUCGACUGGGCGCAGGAGUCGCCAUAUUGGCGUGGCGCCGCAUGCGCAGACCCGACGGCUGCUCCGGCCCGAGCGUCCGACGGAUUACGCCUACGUCACGCGUCAAUCAUUCCGACGCGUUUGAAAUCCCGUGCGAGGGAACGCCGACGGUGUCCUGGGUAACGCGGUGUCGUCCGCGCGCACGAAAAGAUGAUGUCUAAUAAAUCGCGCGGAGAAAAGUCCGAAUUUGCGCGAGAGCAAGAGCUCCGAGUAUUUCCGUUCAGUAAAAGGAGAAUCUUACGACUCGUGAAGAUCAGAGCUGAUCUUCUCCGAUACGAGAGUAGAGCGCUGUAUUACCGGCGAACCUCGUAAACGACCGUAGCAGCAAGUGGGGGGGUUUCCCCGAGAAGGAGGGAUAAACGAGCCGAGCCACGAUUUCGUUGUCGUAAACGUCAAAGUUACGGUUACAACGUUGUUCCUAGCUGCUUUAUAUUGAACGAGGUUGCUCCCCGAGGUACGUAACACCUACCUACUCGCAACCGUCGUAUUGCAGAAAGUAGCUCCUUUCCAACUCGGGAGCGACGCUGACACCACGUGGCUUUUACGCGGGAAUCCGGCGAAGGAGUUCAAUAUUCAUUGGAUAUCCUUUUGACCGUACCACGCGUGAGUGACGUAAGAAUUUCUUUCUUAUAAUUCACACAGUUGUACUGUAUUCGUUCUAGUAAAACAAUAUAUUAAUUGUCAUUUUAUUUCAUUCUUUUUAUAGAGAUCGCCGAACUAUUCGUCAUUGUGAAAACUGUAAAUUACAACAUACUUUUUUUUUCAGCAACAUUUCAUUUAAAUGCGUCGAAAGCACGAGUGUAAAACUUGGAAAACGGAAGCUACAUUCCAUAUCCAUCCGGCAUAUUUAUCUUGAUUAAUACUCCCGUAUCAAGUUAUCGUGCAAACCUUAAUGUAGCUUUAAAAAGGGACCUUUUUUUAGAUCUGGACCGUGAAAGAGGUUCGCUCUCAAUAGGCUGGAAUGAAGAGAUGCCUAAAUAGCACCCCAGCCUCUAUCGUCGCGCCCUCUAAUUACCCUGUAGACGCAGUCACCCCUCAAUGAGGAGUGAUAAAUAUUGUUCGCGUUUAGGUAUAUCCCGAGGAGGAAGUGAAUCGGCUCUAUAAAGAAAGAUAUAUUUCUCAUUGCUACUGUCGAGGGUGAAAAAAAGAGUGAAACUCUCAACCUGGACCGGGGGAAAGAAACCAACAAAGAAGAUUCCCGCCGAGAAGAAAGCGCUAGAGGCGGUUCGGAGGAAAGAAAAAGGAUGGAGGUAGGAGAAAAAAAGUGCUAGGCUAGCUAGAGACUUGGUCUCAGCUGAGCUAGUAGAGGAAAUGGUCCCGCCGAAAGUGCGAUAUAACCCACGAGGCCUUGAUUAUAUAUCUACUAGCGGCAAAGCAGAAGGUUAUUCGGGAGUAUCUCUCUCGCAAUGAAAAGGACAAAGACAUCGCUAGAAACAGCUGACUACCGGAAUUCGGGGUUCCGGUGGGGUGAGUACAGUGGGGAAGGCACUUGAACCCCCAAUUGGACGAGGACUUCCCCAUUAUACCCAACGUACCCGGCGAUUUUACACGCACUUGACUCCAUUCUACCUAUCUAGCCGACAUAAUUUUGCCAAGGUACACGGCCGAUUUUCCACAACAUAACCCGCGCGCGUGUUGACAUUGUAUGUACGUGCGAAAGUGAAAAAAGGAAUCUAAUAAAAUUUACAUUUCGCACAAAAACGUGCGGCAACGUGUGGAGUAAGACUAGCAAUUUAAAA